UUCGGCCAUAGUGGCGCACGGGUGAGUAACGCGUGGGAACCUGCCCAGCAGUGGGGAAUAACUUCGGGAAACCGGGGCUAAUACCGCAUACGCCCUUAGGGGGAAAGAUUUAUUGCUGUUGGAGGGGCCCGCGUCCGAUUAGUUUGUUGGUGGGGUAAUGGCCUACCAAGACUACGAUCAGUAGCUGGUCUGAGAGGAUGAUCAGCCACACUGGGACUGAGACACGGCCCAGACUCCUACGGGAGGCAGCAGUGGGGAAUAUUGGACAAUGGGCGCAAGCCUGAUCCAGCAAUGCCGCGUGAGUGAUGAAGGCCUUAGGGUUGUAAAGCUCUUUCGGCGGGGACGAUGAUGACGGUACCCGCAGAAGAAGCCCCGGCUAACUUCGUGCCAGCAGCCGCGGUAAUACGGAGGGGGCUAGCGUUGUUCGGAAUUACUGGGCGUAAAGAGCACGUAGGCGGUUCGUUAAA
rnacentral:rRNA from 1 species